rnacentral:rRNA from 1 species
UAGGGAAUCUUCCGCAAUGGACGCAAGUCUGAAGGAGCAACGCCGCGUGAGUGAAGAAGGUUUUCGGAUCGUAAAACUCUGUUGUAAGAGAAGACCAAAUUGUAGAGUAACUGCUACAGUCUUGACGGUAUCUUACCAGAAAGCCACGGCUAACUACGUGCCAUCAGCCGCGGUAAUACGUAGGUGGCAAGCGUUGUCCGGAUUUAUUGGGCGUAAAGGGGGCGCAGGCUGCUUCUUAAGUCUGAUGUGAAAGCGCACGGCUUAACCGUGGGAGUGCAUGGGAAACUGGGAAGAUUGAAUACAGAAGAGGAAAGUGGAACUCCAUGUGUAGCGGUGGAAUGCGUAGAUAUAUGGAAGGACACCAGUGGCGAAAGCGACUUUCUGGUGUGUCACUGACGCUGAGGAACGAAAGCGUAGGUAGCAAACAGG